rnacentral:lncRNA from 1 species
AUCUCAUAAAUUCAUAAUAUAAAAACCAAGUGAAACCCAAAACUACUUCACUUCGACAACAUAAUUUACAUACGGAUUUUACUUUCUGGAGACCCCGAAGGGAUUACAAAGAGAAAAGAAAACUACCUUCUGCCUACCUCCACCACUGGAUGAUACAAUGCAUCAAAGGCUUAUUACAACUGGAGAUGGCUACUACUACUACUACUGAGGAGAGUGAGGGAUGUGGUGCUCUGGUGUUGCGAUGCUCUGGAGACUGGUGUUGUGUGUGUUCCAGCGCUCAGUCCUCCUCCUUUGAUAGCACGCGAGGGGCACCGCGCAAUUACUACCUUUAUUCUUCUCUAGCAGGUGUGCUACAGCCUGCCUUGACACAACUUCGGCCUCUUGCGUUUUCCUUUGCUUGAGCUGAUGAAGCAUCUCCAUAUUUUAUCUGCCUUGUAGUUUGCACAGUCAAGCAUCUUAUGCAUGAUUCCAAUGCGUGGCUGAGCUUUUGUCUUGACAGAUGAUUUUGUCCAGACUGAAGUCUUUUUCUUGACAGAUGAUUUUGUCUAGACUGAAGUCGUUGUCCUGACUGAGAACUUUGUCUGAACUGAGAAUUUUGUCCAGACUGAGAACUUUGUCUAGACAGGAGACCUUGUCAUGGCUGAGAGACCAGCUUCUCGUGGCAUGGUAAAAUAUUGCUAUGACAUGGCUGGGUAUACAAACUAGUCCAAUAUAUUACUCUGUUGCUUGCAUGCGAAGCUAUUGGCUCUGUAAAUUGCACAAGCCAACACACAUUGCGUGCGCAAUGGAGUCAUGCAUUGCUUUGGCUCUUCUUGACUAAAACUUCAGCUAUACUCUUGUGCUCCCUUAUGCUUCCAUGGCUGGCAUUAUCAUUUAUUUAUUUAUUUAUUUUUACAAUAAAAUAAUUAAAAUAUAUUAGAUAUUUUACAAUAUUUAAAAUACCAGAUUAUUAAAUACUUAGGUGAUUUAAAUUAGGUGAUUUAAUUUUUUUGAAAUUAUUCAAUUAACUAAUUCUUAAUUAAUUUGCUAAUUAUUAUAUUUUACGUGUAUAUGCAAGAUCUUUUAUGGGUUGGUGAGACCAACGAGACAACCUACGGGUAUGCAACAGUUGUGUUAAUCCUACUCGGUACUCUCCGUAUGUAUCAUUAUGUUGCUUCAGAAGCACCUAAGUUCUUUCACUUGAUGUUUAUAUUGUGAAUUUAUGCGAUAAAUUCCUACCGUCUUCCCAGGCAGUUCCAUCCGAAGGGAACACUUCUCUACGGCCACAAGGUUCUCAUUCAAACGCCACACAUCGGCUAAACAGAGAACGACCGGCAGAGGUUUCUCCUAUAGGAUACCUAGCGUAAGAACUCAUCUCAUAAAUUCAUAAUAUAAAAACCAAGUGAAACCCGAAACUACUUCACUUAGACAACAUAAUUUACAUACGGAUUUCCCUUUCGGGAGACCCCGAAGGGAUUACAAAGAGAAAAGAAAACUACCUCUGCCUACCUCCACCACUGGAUGAUACAAUGCCUCAAAGGCUUAUUACAGACUGGAGAUGGCCACUACUACUACUACUACUAAGGAGAGUGAGGGAUGUGGUGCUCUUGUGCUGCGAUGCUCUGGAGACUGGUGUUGUGCAUGUGUCAGCGCUCAGUCCUCCUCCUUUUAUAGCACGCGAGGGAUGCUGGAUGCUCCCUUCUUUAUUCCUCUGCAUCAUAGAUGGAAGCUGGAGGAUCUCAUACCUUGACACGCCUUAUGCACCGACAAAAUGCCUCAAAGUUUGCACAAUCAACCUUGCGUGACUCCGAUGCUAGACUGAGAACUUUUUCUAGACUGAGAAUUUUGUCCACACUAAGAACUUUGUCUAGACAGGAGACUUUGUCAUGGCUGAGAGACGGGCUUCUUGUUGCGUGAUAAAAUAUUGCAAUGACAAGGCUGGGUAUGCAAACCAGCCCAAUAUAUUACUCCAUUGCUUGCAUGUGAAGCUAUUUGCUUUGUAAAUUGCGCAAGCCAACACACAUUGCGUGCGCAAUGGAGUCAUGCAUUGCUUUGGCUCUUCUUGACUGAAACUUCAGCUAUACUCUUGUGCUCCCUUAUGCUUCGAUGGCUGGCAUUAUUAUUUAUUUAUUUAUUUAUUUUUAACUUUUUUGGGUAUGGGUCUACCCCGCCCAUGUUAUUGAUAAUACCUUAUCAAUAUUUUGAAUUAUGUCAAUAUUCGGGUAUAGAUCCUCCGCGCCCGAAUAAUUGAUAUUCAUAUCAAUUCAUAUUCGGAGAUAUUCGUUUGUUAUUUUCUUUCUUGUAUUCAAUUGGUUACCCGUGCCCGGCAAUGUCCAUAUGGUCUGUCUCAUAAAUGGUGAAAUCGUAUUUUUGAUCAUAUUCUUUCUUUAGCUCUUCAAACUAUUCAUUCAUUUCAGAUCGUAAUUCUUUUAAAAUUUCUUCCUUCAAUUCUACCUUCAUUGACUUUGCAACUUCCUUAAGUUUUUCAUCUAUCUUGAAGUCUAUGUAUUCCCCAUCCAAAGGAUCAACUCCUUUGAUAAGGCAUUCUUUGUAUGAUUGAUAUUUUGAAGCAUUUGCUUCUUUUAUAUUCUUUGUAUCAGUUCUCGAUCCUUGAAAUAACAACCUUUCAUUAUCUUCGCCCAAUUUGAGGCAUAAUUGAUUUUUUCACGCCUUAUUUGGAAUUCUUCCCAUGUCAUUGGUAUUCCAUCGAACAUAACAUAUGUUAGUCUUGGUGUAAAAUAUACUGCCUGGGUAUUUAUAUUAUUUUGCAUAUAACCUUUCUCUUUUCUUCUGAUUAUGUCCCUAAUUUCCAAUAAGCAUCUUUCCAUAUCAUCAUAGUGGAUACGGUCUUUUUGUUUGAAAUUGAAAGUAUUUGGCGGCCAUAUCCUUAAUCUGGUGUUAUUUCUGGAUAUGUGGCUUUCACUUCCUCCAGCGAGUGUAUUUUUUUUCAUUCGUGUAGAGAGGAUGAUCAGAGAAAUAAGUUAGGUAAACUAUUUCGUUUGCCUUUAAUAUGCUUAUGUAAGACUUUUUAUCUGUUCACUGUUAUGUUGUGUUCCAUGUUCUUGCUAUUUAUGUGGUUCUUCUUAUUUAUUUGGUUCUAAUAUUUUAUCUCCUUCUGUUAUUAUUUGUUCCUCUAUUUCUAUGCCUUCAACUACAAUGUUCUCUUCCUCUGUAUUUGCUUUAUUUUCUAAGUUAGAUUUUAGGUCUUCUAGUUCCACUUCUAAUUUAUUUAGUCUAUUUUCUAGAUUUCUAACUCUGGUAGAUAAUAUCCUACCUUCGAGUUCAUAUUCUAUUUCUUGUCUCCAUCUUUGAUUAGUAGAUUUUAGGCAUGAGUUACAUGCUUGUCUUAAGCACGAACUGCAUGUAUACCUAUUCUCUUGACAGGGAUAAUAUAUGCAAAAGCCACAUUUUAUAUUAUAAUCACCUUUUCCCCUGAUACAGUCAUGUUCACAAUCUACUUGGUUCAUCAUCUCUACUUUUUAAAUCUAUUUCAUCUUCACUAGAUUCUUCUUCUAACUCUUCAUUUUCUAUCUCAUCUGUUUCUAUAAUGGAGUAUAUUGACUCAUCUUCUUUUAUUUCAUCAUCACAUACUAAUAUAUUCUCAUUAACACUAUCUACAAUUAAUACUCUCUCUUGCUCUUCAUAUUUACUAGGGUACCUUUUCUGAUCUUUAUUAGGGCAAGUUGUACUUAAAUGAUCAGGUGAAUUGCAUAUAAAACACCUAGAUGUUUUAUCAUAUGAUUUUCUAGGAUUAUAUUUUCUAACAUUUCUUUUAUGCAAGAAUGGGGCUCUAUUAUUAGAUCGUCGUAAGAAAUAUCUUUUCUUUGUUCUGAAAUUUCUAUUAUCUUUUUGUGGUUUAUAAUAUUUCUUAUUUUUGUGUCUUUCUUCGCCAUAUGUUAGUGGUAUUUGGACGAUUUUAUUCCAGAAACUAUAAUCUGAUUUCUUCAUAUAUCUCUGGGCCUAUAUACUUGUACAUACCUUUCUAAGAUGUUUACACACAAAAGUUAUUACUUGGGAUAUAUUUAUGUCUAUACCCGCAGUGUCUUUCUUAUAUUCUUCAAAUAUUAUAAAUCCUAAGGGGUCUGGUAAUUUAUUAAAAUACCUUUCAACCACACCUUUAUUGUAGCCUUGCCUAGCUGUGGUAGCAUUGUACAAAUAAUGUUGAGAGAAUUCUUUUAUACCUUUCCAACUUGUUAUGGUUAAUUUUUUCAUUUCUCUCAACCUUUCAUUUUGUAAUGUGGCAUGACCCAAUUCCGGAUCUUCUACUAUGACCAUAUUUGAUAUGACAUUGGCAACGUUAUUUGGAUUACUUCCAGAUCUUUUUAGUUCUUCAUAUUGAUCAGGAUAUGUAUCUACCCAUUGUUCCCAUAAUAUUUUUACGGAUUCUCCUAAAAAUGUUUCAAGGUAUGUUAUCAUAUCUUCCACCUUAUUCUCGAUAUUAUAUUGAUUCUGUAUAUAUUUUUGGAUUAUUAAUCCUUUCCACACACUAAUUAUAUUUGACCAGUCUAUAGGGUCAUGGGCUGCCAAAUUUAGAAUAGCACCAUCAUUCCAAGAAUUUUGGAAUUUCAUUACUCUUUCAAAACCUCUUCUUUUAGAACCCAUAAAUGUAUAUUGUCCAGGGAUAUAUGUAGGUUGAUAAUCAUAUUUUUGAGGAAGCCAUUUUCCAACUGAUCGAGUAGGUUUCUCUCUUUCUCCUUCUCUUUUUACAAAUGACUCGCCAUAACCUCUUCUUCUUUUAUGACCACCUAAAUCUACUUCCAUGGCUUCCAUCGCAUUUUCUAAAUUUUGCAGACUUUCAUCAUCUAACGAGUUUAUAGAAUCAACAUUUUGCUCAGACUCUAUAUAAUUUUUAUCUUCAUAUUCAUCCCAUGGUUCUUUUUCUUCUUCAUAACUUCCUAAUAAUAGCUUAUUAUUGAUAUCCCAUUGAUCUUCUUCACUUAUGGCUUUCUCCUUAUGACUUUCGGUCUUAUUCUUAAUAUUAGUAUUUUCUUCGCAUUUUAUAUUAUCCUUUGGCACCACUGGGUUACUAAUGAUUGGUUUUUUAUCCUUAAUUAUUCUUUUUAACCUUGAAAUUUCUCUAAUAAAGAAUAAUUCUCUUUCUCUUAUUUUAGGCCAAUCUGAUGUCAUUGAAUUAUUAUACUCCCAAUUUAUACGUUUUAAUUUUUCUUCCCAAUGUUUUAAUUCAUCUUCUAAAUCUGCCUUUUCCAUGCAUUAUUUUACUCCUUUAUUCUUACUAUCACUACUCUCUAUUUCUGACAUAAGAGGUUCUAUUUCAUCUAAGGCUGCGGAUUUAUAGUUCAGGAAUCUAAUGCUACUAUUUCCUUCACUAUUUUGGUAGCUUAUAUAAUUUUCUGGCUGCUUCAAUUCUUUCUUCUCUAUUAGUUCGCUUAUAUUCCAUUCUUCUCCUGCUCUCUCUUCAGAACCUAUUUUAGGAGGGCUCAUAAAUUUUAUGCCUUUAGAUUGCAUGCUUUCUAUUACAUCAUUUACAUUUACUUUGUAUCUAGAGCUAAUCUUAUUUGUGAGUCUUCCUAUGAAUUCGAUGCUUAUUAAUAAAUUUGUUCCUUUAAAAUCUUCAUAUCCUUUGGUUUGAAAUCCAAAGUUCAUCUUUUCAAUAAAUUCUUUCAUAGGCAUCAUUAAGUCUGGGGCUAUAUAUGUUAUUAAUCUAUUUUCAUUCUUAUCUUCUUCCAUAAAGCCUAAUGAUGCUUUUUCUACAGACUCCCAUCUUUUAUCAAGUAAUGUAAUUAAUACCUUCGUUCCUAAUUUCUUUCUUGUCAUUUCUUUAACUCCUAUAAUAUACAUGCCUUGAUGAAUAUAUUUAUAACUUGAAUAUUUGAGUCCACUCUCAAUAUUUUUGCUAACAAUUCUUAAAUCAACUGGACGCGUUAACACACUUAAUUCUACUUCUCUAGAUAUUCUGUACAAUCCACUCUUACUUCCAAAUAUACCCAUGUGAUAUACCUGUUGCGGUCUUAUUUUUCUUAACGUGUCUCUCUGGUAUCUUUCUAAUUCGUGUUCCAUAUCUAUAGCAUCUUCUAGAUUAUCUAUGCCGUCACUCUUGCAUGAUAUCCUAUUCAUCAUGGUUAGCGGCCUAGAAUCUUGCCUUAUUAACUGGAUGGUCUUGUCUCUUCUAGAGAGGCUUUUAGAUAGUUCCAUUUUUCAGAAUUAAUAUUUUUAGAAGAUGAGACUAUUCCGGCUGAAGAUAAUAUCAACUCGUUGUUACCUCCUUUAGUAUUUAGCUUUUCCAAAAUCUGGACUAGUAGUUGUAGAAUGGUGUUAUUCUGCCUUAUAAUUAUUCUGGAAUCUUCUUUUGGUGAAUCGUGAUCUGAAAAUCCGACAGGAGGUGUUAAGUAUUUUUCUACUUCUUUAAUGCUUGGCUAUAUUCACUCAGACAAAUUAUGAUACGACUAAAGUCUUUACUUCUUGUACUAACUUUUUAACUUCAAGUAUAUCGCGUCUAAUUUCAGCACGUGAUGAUGAAUCUUUACUCUUAUUUAAGACACCACUUAGAUUCUUACCUAUGGAUAAAACUUCUUCUUUAAUAUAGUCGUUGUUCUUACAAAUUAUAAUAUUUCUUCCUUUCGCUUCUUCUAAUUUCUGUAGAACUAUGUCAAUUGUAUUAUUCAAGCUUGCGUAUUUUUCUACUAACUUAUUUAUUUCUUUUAACAUAUUUUCAAAUUUUUGGUCUAAAUUAUCUUGCCUUUUCCCCCAAGAUAUAUAGAAGUUAUGAAUGAGGUCGACAAUUAAAUUUAGUUGGCUAUGAGUAGUAUGCCACGUAUGUUCUUCAGAAGGAUUUAUUCUGCACCGUAUGCUAGUAUUCUCUUUAGUAGAGAUCAGUCUACCUGUACUAAUUUCUAAAUUCAAACACUUUAGUCUUUCAAUGAUUAAAAUUCUGGCUGAGAUACCAACACAGAAAUAUAUUAUAAAAUAAUUAACUUUAAUUUAUUAAAUUCUACAGUAUGUAAAAUACAAGAUUAUUUAGUAAUUAGGUAAUUAAAUUUUUUGAAAUUACUCAAUUAACUAAUUCUUAUUUAAUUUGCUAAUUAUUAUAUUUUACGUACAUGUAGGAUCUUUUAUGGGUUGGCGAAACCAACAAGACAGCCUAUGGGUAUGCAACAAUUGUGUUAAUUCUACUCGGUACUCCGCAUAGUCAUUAUUAUGUUGCUUCAGAAGCAGCUAAGUUCUUUCACUUGAUGUUUGUAUUGCGAAUUUAUGCAAUAAAUUCCUACCGUCUUCCCAGGCAGUUUCAUUCGAAGGGAACACUUCUCUACGGUCACAAGGUUCUCAUUCAAACGCCACACAUCGGGUAAACAACGAACUACCGACAGAGGUUUCUCCUAUAGGAUCUCUAGCAUAAGAACUCAUCUCAUAAAUUCAUAAUAUAAAAACCAAGUGAAACCCGAAACUACUUCACUUCAACAACAUAAUUUACAUACGGAUUUCCCUUUUGGGAGACCCCGAAGGGAUUACAAAGAGAAAAGAAAACUACCUUCUGCCUAUCUCCACCACUGGAUGAUACAAUGCCUCAAAGGCUUAUUACAAACUGGAGAUGGCUACUACUACUACUACUACUACUACUACUACUACUACUACUACUACUACUACUACUACUACUACUACUACUGAGGAGAGUGAGGGAUGUGGUGCUCUAGUGCUGCGAUGCUCUGGAGACUGGUGUUGUGUGUGUGUGUGUGUUCCAGCGCUCAGUCCUCCUCCUUUUAUAGUGCGCGAGGGGCACCGCGCGGUUACUACCUUUAUUCUUCUCUAGCAGGUGUGCUACAGCCUGCCUUGACACAACUUCGACCUCUUGCGUUUUCCUUUGCGUGAGCUGAUGAAGCAUUUCCAUAUUUUAUCUGCCUUGUAGUUUGCACAGUCAAGUAUCUUAUGCAUGAUUCCAAUGCGUGACUGAGCUUUUGUCUUGACAGAUGAUUUUGUCCAGACCGAAGUCUUUGUCUUGACAGAUGAUUUUGUCUAGACUGAAGUCUUUGUCCUGACUGAGAACUUUGUCUAGACAGGAGACCUUGUCAUGGCUGAGAG